GUACGUAGGUAGCAAGCGUUGUCCGGAUUUACUGGGUGUAAAGGGCGCGUAGGCGGGAAUGCAAGUCAGGAGUGAAAUCUAUGGGCUCAACCCAUAAAUUGCUUUUGAAACUGUAUUUCUUGAGUAUCGGAGAGGCAGGCGGAAUUCCGUGUGUAGCGGUGAAAUGCGUAGAUAUACGGAGGAACACCAGUGGCGAAGGCGGCCUGCUGGACGACAACUGACGCUGAGGCGCGAAAGCGUGGGGAGC
rnacentral:rRNA from 1 species